UGCAUUGCUGAGGAGAGCCAAGUCUAUCAAGGAUUACUGUUGACCCAUGGCUUCACUAGAAGAGAAAGUAAACUGUGUUCUUUGGUUGGCUGAACUAAAAUCUACCACUGCCGUCCAAAGCCUACCAUUUUCUUGGCCUCCACAUUCGCCAGAUUUUACUCCACUGGAUUUCUUUUUAUGGCGACAUAUGAAAACUAAUGUUUGUUCAACCAAAUCUCUAUCUAAAGAAGACUUGCAAGCUAGGAUAACUAAUGCAAUUGCUGGCAUUACUGAAAAUCAGCUUGAAAAUGUUUUCCACAAACUACAGAAUCGUAUUACCCUUUGUAUUAGUAAUGAUGGUGGAUAUGUUGAAAAUUAACAAGAACAAUAAAAAAAGUUAAGUGUU